ACGACGCUGGCGGCGUGCCUAAUACAUGCAAGUCGAACGGUCUUUCUAUGGAAGCUUGCUUCCACUGAGAAGAUAGUGGCGAACGGGUGAGUAACACGUGGGUAACCUGCCCAUAAGAGGGGGAUAACAUCCGGAAACGGGUGCUAAUACCGCAUAGUUUUCUUGAUCGCAUGAUUGAGAAAGGAAAGACGGCCUUUGUGCUGUCGCUUAUGGAUGGACCCGCGGCGUAUUAGUUAGUUGGUGAGGUAACGGCUCACCAAGACGAUGAUACGUAGCCGACCUGAGAGGGUGAUCGGCCACAUUGGGACUGAGACACGGCCCAAACUCCUACGGGAGGCAGCAGUAGGGAAUCUUCCGCAAUGGACGAAAGUCUGACGGAGCAACGCCGCGUGAGUGAAGAAAGGUUUUCGGAUCGUAAAACUCUGUUGUCAGAGAAGAACAAGUUGGAGAGCAACUGCUCCAGCCUUGACGGUAUCUGACCAGAAAGCCACGGCUAACUACGUGCCAGCCGCGGC
rnacentral:rRNA from 1 species